AUACUGUCAGUGGCGGACGGGUGAGUAACGCGUAGGAAUCUAUCCUUGAAUGGGGGACAACCGUGGGAAACUACGGCUAAUACCGCAUGAUGCCUGAGGGCCAAAGACGAAAGUCGUUUGAGGAGGAGCCUGCGUCUGAUUAGGUAGUUGGUGGGGUAAAGGCCUACCAAGCCUACGAUCAGUAGCUGGUCUGAGAGGAUGAUCAGCCACAUUGGGACUGAGACACGGCCCAAACUCCUACGGGAGGCAGCAGUGGGGAAUAUUGGACAAUGGGCGCAAGCCUGAUCCAGCAAUGCCGCGUGGGUGAAGAAGGUCUUCGGAUUGUAAAGCCCUUUUGGCGGGGACGAUGAUGACGGUACCCGCAGAAUAAGCUCCGGCUAACUUCGUG
rnacentral:rRNA from 1 species